GCCGAUGUAGCUCAGAUGGUAGAGCAGCUCACUCGUAAUGAGCAGGCCACCCGUUCAAUUCGGGUCAUCGGCUCCA
rnacentral:tRNA from 1 species